CUGAGGCUGGGGAGUCACGUCAGCGCUCUUCGCCAGGGCUCCUGGAGGAGGACGCUUCACCUGAAGGCGUCUGGCUUGCGAGGAGGUUUUGGCAGUGCCGACCAGGCAGGCAUUCGGCCCCUCCGGCCCCAGCUGCGGUCCGUUUCUGCUUUAAUUCGCUUUCAGAUUGUUGUUGUCUGGGAUUAGCCUUAUCCUGAGAUCCUGCUCCUGCGCUGCCCGUGCGCUGGGGUCCCAGCUCACACUGCCGUGCCGGGAGGCGGGGCGCCCCUCAGCCCCUGGUUUCUCUGCCUGGCCUGGCGUUGAACCGGGCCCUUCAUCAUCAUCAUCAUCAUCAUCUUUCAGUCGUUGUACAAAGAAGUUCCCAUUCUACAAAAAAGUGUAUGAGGACAAAGUGUCUGACAGCAUGGCCACCCAUCUCCCCUAACUGACUUCCUAGGUGAUUGCGUACAUUUCACAUAUUUCUCAGUGUUGUGAGAUAGUGAUGGUUCGUUACGGCCACACACACACAUUUUAACCUUCACAAGGCAGAUUGUCAUUAUCGUGGUCUGUACCGUUUGUGAAUUCUACGAGCUGUGACAAUACAAGUUAUUUUUCCACA